rnacentral:lncRNA from 1 species
AAUUGUUGCUUCCUCUUUGCAUGAAGUCUUCAUAUCCUCUACAAGUAAAAUAAAAAAAAAUUACUAUUGAAGACAGAGACCAAACCACUUUUAUGGUGGAAUACAUUUCAGGACUACAUUUUAUAAGAACACUGCACAUCUUUAUUUGUCUGUUGAAACAAAUGUUUUAGUUCAAAAAAUGGCAGUAUUUUGAUAUUGUUAGUCAACCUUGAACUUACACAAUAUAUUUUUAUUUGAUGUUGUUUAUCAUUUCCUUAUUGCUUUAAAUUUCCAGAACUUUUGUGUACAGUAAAUAUCAAUAUCAGUUUGAAUUCAACCAAGCUACAAGAAUAUUGCCACAUCAACUAGUAAUAAUGACUUUGGAAAGAACUUUUGUCUGUAUCUCUCUCUCAUAUACACUCAUAUAUUUAUUUACAAACACAAACAUACAUAAUAUAUACAAUAUAUAUGCAACUAAAGACUUCAUUCUUUAAUAGAGGGAUGGAACCUGCCAACUGAGGAUGACUUCACCAACUAAAACAGAAUUCCUCUAAAUGUCUUUUAAGGCUAGCAUGGGUUUGGAUGGAGAAUUGAAAAAGGAUUUUAAGGGCCGAAUGUUCCUGUCACCAACCCUUUUUACACCUUACCUGUUUUUCAAGUAAGGGAUUUAAUUAUUCCACAAGACUUCAAAAGCCUUGAGUGACCAAUCAAUGUGAACAUGAGCACCACUUUGAUAAAAUGGGGAUUGUGUGGAAUGUAAGUGUAUACAAACACUCAUGCAUAUAUAUGACAAGCUUCCUACAGUCUCUGUCCAUCAAAUUCCCUUCACAUGGCAUUGAUUGGCUCAGGGCUAUAGUAGAAAACUCUGAAGUUGACUUAACUUGAAACUACAUGGUUGCAAAGUAAACGCCUUAACAGCAUGACCAUGCCUGCAGCAGUUAAGGGAGAGAAAAAAGUAGUUGCCUAUUAAAUGCUCUAUCUUCUAGUUUAUUCAUUUGUGUCCUGUAAAAGAAGCAUUAGUAACACACAAUUCAAUCAGUCAUUUUCACAUCUGCUUGUGAACAAUCUAUUAUACAUCUACUUAGUGAUUCUUUCAUCACAUUUGUAUUUCUAAUUAGAUUUUUUUAUGGUCACUACUUCAAAUAUAUUAAUAUUUAUUUAACUAUUACAAAAGUUGCUUUGUAUCCAGACAAGAAAUUCAUGCUCAAACAAGAUUUACAAACUGGACUGGGCAGUUUUUACACCAAUUAGCUCGUAAUCUAAAGUAGUUAUUUUACUAUAGUAUCUUAUGAAUUGUAAUUUGUCAGCUAUAUUUUUUCUAUUGAAUUAAUAUCAAUGAUGGACUAAGAUGUGUUCUUUCUAUAGUCAAUUCACUGGAGAAUAAAGAUAACUAUAUUUUUAAAAAAUUACCUUGUAAAACUAUUGCUAAUAUGAUUGAUCAAAAUGUUUUGCCAGGAAAAAAAGUGAUUGUAGCUGAGUUAUCACUAGAGAUCAGUAAUCUCUAAAGAUACAUUAAAGAUAUAUACUUUAGUCAGUGGCAUGAUAAAAUGCAUCUAACUCAGGCUGUAAUGUAGCUGGUCUGCACUGCAAGUAACCUGUUUAGGAAAAUAGUAUCUGCAAAUAAGAACUGGUAAAAGGUGUUCUUUAAAUCUACAAUAGACAACCUCUCUAGUGCCAGUGGCACAAUAAAAUGCAUCCACUCCAAGUUGUAGAGUGGUUAGUGUAGAAGAAAGACCUCCAACUAUAAAAAAAAUAUUUUCUGUAGUGUGCAUAACAUUUCAGAGCUGAAACAGCAGAUAAAAUGCUUGGUGAUCUGUCCAACCCCAAAAUUAUAAUGAUGUAGAUAUACAGUGAAGGGAGGGGGAGUAAACUCUAACUUCAUUUACAUGUAAACACUGUAGAUACACAGAAUUUUUCAUACCAUUGUAUUCACACAUAUAUACAUACAUACAUUAUUGCUAUUUUAUAUAAUGAUCAGUAUGAGCAAAAGGAAAAUUUUUUCUGCCUUUAAUGCACGACAUUUAAUGUAUUCCAUAGCUGAACUUGCAGCUUGUUAACAUCAAACAUGUAUAUAUAGUGAGGUUGAAAAGCAUAUGAAUAUUGUGCCUGUUUCACAUAAAAAUAUUGGCCAGUUACUGAUUUAUACAUUGAAUUUUAUGCAUCAAAUAAAGCAUUUUUAUAAUUAA